GACGAACGUUGGCGGCGUGCUUAAUACAUGCAAGUCAACUGAAGCACCGGUAGUAAUACUGGUGUGGAGGUGGCGCACGGGUGAGUAACACGUAGGUAAUCUGCCUUCAGGUCUGACAUAACCCCGAGAAAUCGGGGCUAAUAGCAGAUGAUGCAGCGGCUUGACAUCAAGACAGUUGUUAAAGCUUCGGCGCCUGAAGAUGAGCCUGCGUCNGAUUAGCUAGUUGGCGGAGUAACAGCCCACCAAGGCUACGAUCAGUAGCUGGUCUGAGAGGAUGAUCAGCCACACUGGAACUGAGACACGGUCCAGACUCCUAC
rnacentral:rRNA from 1 species